rnacentral:rRNA from 1 species
AUGAGUUAUCCUAUCCUUGUGCCAGGCUACGAGAACACCAUCCCGAUGAUCGACUACUUCCUCUACUAUACCGCCGGUGGUGGCUCUCCGCCGUCUCUACAGCGGCUACCCCCUCUUGACGGGACCAUUGCCCAGGUCCAGGACCAAAUCAAGGCCAGUGCUGACGUCAUGACGAAUCAGUUUUUGCGCAGGCUGAAGUGCCUUGACCUAGGCGUCCUGUGCCGCGGAGAGGAUGAGGUCGCCGUCGCACAGCUCGAGAUCACCGAGUCCGGGGCGCCACCUAAACUCCAGGUCCUGUGCCCGUCUAUCUCUCGCAGUUGGGAGGUCAAGCAUCCGCCCAUCGUACCCUGCGACGAUGUGAAGGAAUUUGAUUUGGAGGAGGUCUUUAAGAACUUUGAUGCUCACACAGUCAUCCCCUUCAAGAGUUACCUGUGUUGGGUUGAUUACUCCUUUGGUAUCUUGUUCUGCGAUGUGUUCAAUGAGAGCCCCAAGCUCCUAUACCUGGAACUCCCGGCUAAAUUGCCCAUAUUAUGGGCCGGACACAAGGGCCGAGCAUGGGUAGAGGCGUACCACACCGUUGGUGUCACAGAGGGUGAGGUUAUGAAAUUUGUCAAAGUUGUCGAUGGCAAUGAUGAGUUUUUUGAAACCACUGAACCUGCCAGUGAUGAUUUCACCAUCACCUCCUGGGCACUAAUAACAGAAAGCAACGGCGUGAUGAAGUGGAAGCAGGAUGCAUCUAUUAGAUCCAGUGAGAUAGGGUUUGGUGGACUCACACAUCUUCCUCGUACCCCAUUAGAGUACCCUGUUAUCAGCAUGUAUGAGCCCAGUGUCAUUUACUUCAUGAUCGGGCAUGACCAAGCAUCGUACAUGUAUAAUAAGGUAUGGAUUGUUGCCAUUGACAUUAGCAAUGGCAAGGUGAAGUCGUCAUCUGCAUACAUCAAUGGUACAGAACAGGUGGGGGACCUCUGUGCUGAUGAAGCUUUGUACUUUGCCAGAGAAAAACCCCAGGUUUACUCUACCUUUCUUCCUGCCGAGUUCUCCAAGCACCUCAAUUUGCUUGGAACAAGGUAA